GUUUACGGCUAUACCUAGGCGAAAAACAGCACACCAGUUCCCGCCCGAUCACUGUAGGAAGUGAAACCGUCUGAAAGCUCGUUAGUGCUACGAUUGGAGACAACAUGGGAAUCCGGGAUGCUGUAGGCG
rnacentral:rRNA from 1 species